AUGGCUCCUAUCCGAUGCGACGGCAUUGAUCUACCACAAGUUCAGCAAAAUUUUGGAGGACAGAUUGUCAGUUUCCCCAUUACAUACCUGGGCAUCCCAAUUACACUUGGUAGAAUUAGACUAGUUCAUCUCCAAUACAUCUUGGAUAGAAUCAGAGCUCGACUAACGGGUUGGAAGGGACACUUGCUGCCUAUUGCAGGCCGGCGAGUGCUUGUCACGAGCGUGCUCUCAGCGCUCCCUGCGUUCGCGCUCGCCGUGCUGCGCGUGCCGUGAAGAUUUUUCAAGGAUAUCGACAAGACAUGAAGAAGAUUCCUUUGGGCGCAUGAGGAGGAGAUGUCAGGGGGAAAGUGCAAGGUUGGAUGGUCGGUCGUUACAUCGCCAGUGAACCGCGGUGGCCUUGGCAACCCUGACCUCGAGCGGUUCGCGCGCGCGCUCAGGCUGUGCUGGCUCUGGCUGUCCUGGAAGCACCCGGACAGGCCAUGGGCGGGGCUCGGCACGCCAUGCGAUGAAAAGGACCAAGCUCUCUUUGCCUCUGCCACCUCGGUCACCGUCCGGAGCGGCGCAACAGCCUCUUUCUGGCGCUGCCACUUGCUAGGGGAGCGGCCUCUCUGUCUUGCAUAUCCGGUUCUAUUCAAGCACUUUUCUCGGAAAAACAGGACGGUCAUGGUUGCGCUGCAACGGGAGAAGUGGAUUCAAGACCUGCGGCACGGCAACCUCGUUGACAUCCUUCCAUAG
rnacentral:rRNA from 1 species